UACGUAGGGGGCUAGCGUUGUCCGGAAUCAUUGGGCGUAAAGAGCGUGUAGGCGGCCCGGUAAGUCCGCUGUAAAAGUCAAAGGCUCAACCUUUGAAUGUCAGUGGAUACUGCCGGGCUAGAGUCCGGAAGAGGCGAGUGGAACUCCUGGUGUAGCGGUGGAAUGCGCAGAUAUCAGGAAGAACACCAACGGCGAAGGCAGCUCGCUGGGACGGUACUGACGCUGAGACGCGAAAGCGUGGGGAGC
rnacentral:rRNA from 1 species